rnacentral:rRNA from 1 species
AGAAUCAACGCUGGCGGCGUGCCUAACACAUGCAAGUCGAACGAGAAAGUGGAGCAAUCCAUGAGUAAAGUGGCGCACGGGUGAGUAACACGUGACUAACCUACCCUUGAGUGGGGAAUAACUUCGGGAAACCGAGGCUAAUACCGCAUAACACCUACGGGUCAAAGGAGCAAUUCGCUUAAGGAGGGGUCGCGGCAGAUUAGUUAGUUGGCGGGGUAAUGGCCCACCAAGACGGUGAUCUGUAUCCGGCCUGAGAGGGCGCACGGACACACUGGAACUGAAACACGGUCCAGACUCCUACGGGAGGCAGCAGUGGGGAAUUUUGCGCAAUGGGGGAAACCCUGACGCAGCAACGCCGCGUGGAGGAUGAAGUCCUUGGGACGUAAACUCCUUUCGAUCGGGACGAUUAUGACGUACCGGAAGAAGAAGCCCGGCUAACUUCGUGCCAGCAGCCGAC